CACACUAUACAAACACACAUGGGCCUGUCGUCUGCUAGAAAGCACGAAGAUUCCCACCGAAGGCGGUUAGCAGUACGCUUUACGCAAGGCCUUCAUUUCGUGGAAAUUACGUAUGCACAAAUACGCAUGCGUAGCUGCGCCGUUAUAAAUGUAGGCGCUUGAACAUGAUAGUCGGCAGGUAAAAUACACCUUUUAAAAUGUUCAUCGCUGAACUUGGCCUUGGACGCAACGAUGUAAAAGUAUGUCUACAGAAUGCCUCUUUCCUCAUGAGCAAUUGCAAUUGCACGGGAAUAAAGGGCAUGCACAAAAAUUUGUGGAAAGAACGCAUUGGUAUUCCCGUGUCACAUGUUGCCUGAUUGCGCAAGCAGUCUGCCAUGGAUCCCAUAGUUUGUUUGGGUGCUUGUGCUGCGUUUAUUGUGAUGAAAAGACGACAAGAAGAAAAAACAAAGGCGACUAUAGAAAUGGUUCAACCUGACUUUCUACAGUGAAUGAUGGUCUUACUGCAACAGCUAUCCAGCACUUACGAGUUGUUGCUGGAAUGGAUGUCCAAUCUUGAACCACAAAAGGAAAACAUCUAAGAAAACUUUAAGAUCUUGCCACCAUCAUUUCUACCUUCCAACCAGAAUAGAGAAGCCUCGCCAAAUUAUAUUUCCCGACUGAAGAAACUUUCCAUCACGCACUGAUUAUCGGGUGAUGUCGCAGACAAAGCUUUUCUUAUUGCAGGUAUUGGUGUGGAAGUGUUUAAACUAAUUCAAAAGAAAUAGAUCACAUGAUCCUUUCAUAUUCAGAAAUUAAGGUUAGUGUCACAUUUUGGAGCACAAGUGCAAUGUUUCUGAACCAGGGAUAAAUUUUUUGGAGGCUUUUAAGGAACCAAAUCAAGGUUAGCAGGUAACAAUGAAUGGACACUACAAUUGCAAGACUUAACUAGAUAUUUGCAAGUUUCCAUGUGAAAGUGACAUGUAACAAGUCUUACACUGCUUCUCUCAAUUGUAAUAUGCUUUUUAUGCACUCGACUGAUAUUACCUUUAACAUGGCCACAUUAACAACGGCUAGUGUAAGCAGGUGCACUUUAAUAUGGAGACAGUUGUGUGCUUACAGUGCAUAAGCAGCCCACAUAGCCAAGCUCUGAAUACUUUUCUUUUGAAACUCACAAUGUUUUUAUGCUAUAAAACAGAUCACAAAUCUGAAUUGGCUUUUGCCUGUUCUCAACUUGCAAACAAAAUCAUUCCCAUCUUUUCCGAGGUCUUCCAGUAUCUCUUUUCCCAUUCAUUCUGUAGUUCAGGACCUUAUGUUCUCAUGGAGUGUUAUCUCCGAUUUUCAUGAUACUGACAAAAGUUUUUCAUAACAAAAUUCAGAUGUCUACAAUGAACACGAGCAAUUCAGUAGAUUUUUGUGGACAAAAAAAAAUAAAGUGAAUGCUGUCUUUUUCAGUAAAUGACAAUGCUUUAGCUAUGACACUGAAGAGUUAAUAAAGUGCCAUUAAAAAUUUCAAACUGAUAAAGGCUCUGCAAUUUCUAUAGUUGAUCUACAGACAUACAAGAAAUUAGGCUCACCAAAGUUAACUGAAUUUCACAUUUUGAUAUUUAUCAACAGACACCAGCAAAUAUGGAUCAAAGGUCAAUUCAUUUGGAUGUUGCAUUAAGCAGUUUACCAGACAGGACAGAUUUAUAGUAAUAUAUUCACGUAUAGCAGCAGAUUUACUGGUUCUAACACACUAGUAUUCACAAUUCAUGAAGGAGUGAAGGAGAUUCCCACUUACGUUCCUACUGGAUAGUUGCAAACAUCUUUGCAAAAAUAUGAUACAAUUUUUUUUGGAGGCAACUUUAGUAUUGAAGACUUCAAUGUGCACAUCGUUAUGAAGCCAAAUGCUAUGCCAAAAUUCUGCAAAACACAUAAUAUUCCAUUUGCAUUAAAGGACAAAGUGAAACAGGAGCUUGAGUAUCUGUAACAGAAUGUCAUUAUAGAAUCAAUUACUGGUAGCCGAAAGGCAACACUGCAUGGCACAUUAUUGAUCUGUGGUGAUUUCAAAGUGACUGUCAGAGUACAAUCGGUUAAUAGAUUCCUAUCAAAUUCCAAAACUAGAAGACUUAGUGUCUGAAUUAGCUGGCAGUGUAUGUAUAUUUUGCAAAACUUGAUUUGAAGGAAGCCACUUACAAAUACCUUUGGAUGAAGGAACACACAGAUUUUUGGAUAUAAAUACUACAUUUGGAGUUUAACAGUACAUGAGAUUGCCAUUUGGGAUUGUCAGUGAACAAAGUUUGUUCCAGCAAUACUUGGAACAGUUAAUUAGGAAAUGCAGUAAUGCUGUGAACUACCUGGAUGACAUCAUUCUCUCAGGAAAAAGCUCCAGGAGGACUGUUAUGUAAUAUGGAAUAUGUCUUUAAGGUUGUAUGAGCAGCAAGUUUAAAGUGUAACAAAGAAAAGGACAUGGUAUUCCACUAGCAAGUCCAAUAUUUAGGACACACCGAAACAAUGAAAAACUUGUAAGCUCGCAAUUAUCUUGAGGAAUCCAGUGAAGGAGUCCCUGAUUUCAAAAUUAAAUAGCUCGUAAACUAAGAUCAACAGAAGUGUGGUACAAAUGGUAUGGUUAUUGUGAAAGCUGUAAGAAUUUGAUACAGAAGUUUCAAAAUAGUUAAAAAAAAAAAAAAAAAAAAAAAACGCAAUACAUUAUGCCUGAAAAUAGUGUACCACUGAUCAGAGCAAUCAGUUCCACCAUUGAAGUGGUUGUUGUACCAGAGGAAAAGGUUGAAAUCAGUGGUCCAUUGAACAUCAUCUUUCUUUGGUACUGGAAUACCACAGGUUAAAAUACACUCCUGUAGCAACGAACCACAGUUUUCAAAUAAGAUUUAAUGUCCAAAGAUUUAAUGAAAAUCAUUCACAAGCUCAUCACCAAAUUCCAACUGAAAGGAAGUGUGGCUGAUGAUCUAGCAGGGAAUAAUGACCCCACACAAACUGUCAUUAUCCCUGAAAAUGCUGCCACGAUUUGCUUGUUUAGCAAAAUCCAAGGAGAUCCAUCUAAAGAACUGCAGCAGAGACUAGUUUGAAGCAUUUAGCACACACAAAAUAUUGAGCCUACAUGUUUCCAUUCAAAAUCUAAAGCCACCAAGCCAUACGCAUACAAGCUGUACAACAUUGGGCUGACUUUGUCAAACAGAUUCUCACUCUGGUCGACAGCUGAAGCACAUUUCCACUUGGAGUCGUGAAUAAACAAAACUGGCUAUUUCAUUGAUCUGAAAAUCCCACGUGCAUGAAGAAAAAUUGCUGUAUUCUCCCAAAGUUACUGUUUGGGCUGUGGUAUGCAAACUAUCACUAGUGAAUGUUACACUGCAAUUUUGUAGUUACCACACAGCUAGCAUUGAAGGAUCAACCAAGCACCAAGUGGUUCAUGCCAGGUGGGAACCACAUCGCCACAUCGGAGCGAACAGGUGUUUUGCUUUCUUGAUAAAUUCUUUGAAAAUAGUCAUUGCAUUGGAUUAUUGUAAAUUUACUGGUUCAGGAAUGGAUUGGCCUUAAUUUUUACCUGAUCUGACUCCCUGUGACUACUUUUUGCAGGGCACAUUGAAAGACAUUGUCUACUGGAACCACCCCACCACACUGGAUGAGCUGGUAUUGGCAGUCUGUGUGGCUUCUGAAUCCAUUUCCAUUGAGAUACUACAAGAUGUGAUGGCAAAUUGCAUUGUUCGUUUGCACCACCUGUGUACUUACUGCUAGUGAUGGGUGUUUUGAAAAGCUUGUGAUGCGGCUGGAAUGGCGGCUUGCUGAGGACAAGUUUAAUUACGUUUGCUGGUACUAUUUGGGGUUAGCAGCUUUUCAAACUAUUUUAGAACUUCUGUAUAAAAUUCUUGCAGUUUUCAGAGUAAACAUAACUUUUGUUGCUCUCGUCUAUCAAUCUUGAAAUCAGGGACUCCUCAGGUGGACACCCUCUGUGUGCUGUAGUAGUUAAAAUUAAUUGCUACAGAAAGUUCGUUCCACAUGUAGCAUUCAUAAGCAAACCACUUUCCAAACUAUUAUGCAAAGGCACAAAAUAGAUUUUGAACGACGUUAUGCCAAAGUACAGUUGAUAAAUUAAAACAAUGUUUGUUAAAUGCCAAAUGUCUCAUGACAUAUUGUCCAAAUAAUGUAUUAACUAUUGCAUCAGAUACAUUUGAGUAUGGAAUCGGUUUAGUUUUGUCACAUUGUCAAAUGUCCGAGCAUGUUCAUGUCCAAAACAGUGACAGUUGCUCAGAAACAUUACUUUCAGAUUGAAAAGGAAGUUCUUGCAGUUAUCUUUGCUGUUAACAAGUUCAGGAAUACAUAUAAAGCUGAAGAUAAAUUCUCCUUGUGCACCACAAACCACUGGUGGCAACUUUUGGACCAAAUAAUACUUUUCCUUCCAGGACAGUCCAAAACUUGCACAGUGGGAACUGCUUUUGCUAUACUAUGACUAUGAAGUAGUUUUCAUGUUCACAGCUCAAAACACUAAUGAAGAUUUGCUACCCAGCUGCCUAGGGCAGGAUAAAAAUUUUGGAUCUUCUUCUGUUGUAUGUUUUGGAUUAAAUUAAAUCAUCAAGAAAC